GAUUUAGCUGAGUUCCUCCCUUUUAUGUUUCUUGGUGCCUUUUGUGACUAAAUGCCAAAUCUCAGCCCUUUAAGCAUGUCAGAGUUAGUGUGCCUGGGGAAUAAAGAGCAGUUUUAAUAGUUCCUCAGAAUUUUUGACAUGACAGUAUGAAAACAGUAAUUGUAGUUUUUCAAAUUCAGCAAAGCUUUUGAAAUAGGACAAAGUUACCCUGCCAAAAAUCUGCAGUGCAUGCAAAAAUUUGUUUAAAGAUGCUCUUUUUAAAAAGCUGGAAAGAUGUGGAACCAGCGAGUAAAAUAAAGCAAGCCUCCCCAACCUUCUUCUCCUGAUUUCUCCCAUCACAUGCAUUUGUUUAAAAAGUGCAAAACUGAUUUACUUCUGAGAAGAGACUACUUCUUAAAAAAACAAAAAGGGUACUUCUGUUAAAUCUCUGUGAUAUUUCUGGGGGUAAACCCCUAGAAGUGGAGAUGGCAGGGAUAGAAUACAUGAAUGAUGAUCCUGGCAUGGUGGAUGUUCUUUACGCC
rnacentral:lncRNA from 1 species